CAAAUGAAAGUUCAGUAAAUUCAUUAACUUCUCGUAAAAUUUCCCGCCAAUUUGUAAUUUCAUACAAAGCACCGCUGAAAUAUCUCGGGCUACGUCUAGUAAGCUCUACAGAUUACUGUUUCCGCUGAAAAUAGUGCAGGCACCUACAAAUACUUAAAAUUAUUUGCAGGUUUUAGCCAAUGAGAACACAGUACAAUGAAUAAUAAUGCCCAAUAUUAACCCUCGACUUCUAGCUCAACUAGAAUAAGGAAUGGGAGUUGGUCAGCGUGGCCUCAGGCAGCUGGAACAGCAGACCGGAAUAGCGGAAUCCGAACCACACGAAUGGGUGGGGGAGGGGGGACUCUGGGUUAGCCGUUUUCAGCGUGGGUGGACUUUUCUAUCUUUGCGUUAUGAGUAAUUAUAUUAUCGAAG
rnacentral:lncRNA from 1 species